UGAGUAGAAAAGCUCCGAACGCAGCAACAAAUCGAAUGGUGAAAGGCACCUCGAUCAAGUCUCGCUUAAUCCCUGCCGCUUCCAGAACCUUCUCGAUUCCGAAGCAGCUCCAUGCCUCUCGAUUUCGAUCCCGAAAAAGAUUUCAUCCUUAGCCAGGAUUUCUUCUGUACCCCUGAUUAUAUUACUCCUGCGUGGAUCGGAGCAAGGAAACUAUUGAAUGCCCCAAAUCGCCGGAGAAAAGUUAAGACUGUUCGGAGCAACCGCCUGAAACUC